rnacentral:tRNA from 1 species
UUAAUUGAAACCAAAAAGAGGUAUAUUAUUGUUAAUAAUAACAUUGAAUUUAUAUUCCAAUUAAA